AAAAAACCUGCAGCUUAUUCAACUGCAGGCUCUUUUUAUCGUCUCAAACAGGAGAUGAUAAAAAGAUAAAGGGAGAGGAGAAACCGGAAGAAGAACUUAUGGGGAAAUGUAAGUCUUCUCCG
rnacentral:ncRNA from 1 species